CUAUUACUAAUUUAUUUGUCUUUUUAUGGUUCAGUUAAAGGAAUAUCUUAGGGAGUACAGCACAUGUCAGUGUUGUCAAAUGUUACAUGGUAGCUGUCAGAAUUUUGACUGAUGUACAAGGACUACCUGCUCAUGUUUGCCCUUCCUUUCUGUUGAGUGCACACAGGUAAGACAGCUUGUUGGUAAUUUUUAUUUAAUGCUUUCAGUAUCUGCAGCUGCUCUUUUAUUGAAAGUUCUGACAAGAAGAGAUUCCACUCACUGAGAUUUCCAAGAUUUCCACUGCAAGGAUUUCAUCACUUAAACAAGGUUUUCCUCUGGGAUUAGAACACUCUUCACAUUCUUUUUCUGAUGCCUUGUAAUCUCAGAGAUCUUCCCAUUUUGUAUUUUCAUCUGAGUAUCUGGUUCCACUCUUCAGUUAGCAAAGGCCAGUCGAACAGAGUGCAGAUGGGCAGCAGUCAUGAAUCAUAGGAGCCCUGUAGUUUCUAUGAACUCAGAUGUUUUCAGGAUAUCAGCUGUGAAAAUCAUGCAUUCACAAGAAUUGAAGCUGUCUGGCAAUCCCUGGAGGUAAGCAAGUCUACAUUUUCAAGCAUGAGUAUGAACAGUGAUGAAAAAUGUGGGCAUUUGUGUACCAAGCAAAUGCAACUGCUGAAAAAUUUAUCCCAUCUCCAGGUUGGCUCUCAUAACAAUGUAGUAUGAAAAUAUCACUGGAAGUAUUCAUAAUGAAUAUUAAUAAAAAAAUAAAUCAAACUCCUGAAGAUUUAGAAUAUUGUCAGAAUUGGAAUCCAUACAAGUAGAAAAGACCAGCUUUUAUCCAAAGUUAUUGCUUUCAGUGCAGAAUGGAAUUUCUUGAUGCUAGUUCCAUAACUUCAAUUUACUCUUAAUUUAUUAAUAGUUAUUUAACAGUCUGAGUUUUCUUCCUGCAGGUGUAAAAAGCAAAGUAUUGGUAUUACAAUGUCCAGAACAUAACUUGGCUGCGGAGUCCACCAUUCCUUUCAUAAACAGUGUUGGCUUUCAUUUCUUAAAUCUGAGUUAAGGCCAUCAUUUCAAUCUUUCAUCAUGGCCAGUAGUACCUUAUCUUGAUCUUGGUUCCACAAAAGUGGAAGCCACUAACAAAAGUGAAACUACUUAUAUUUCACUGAAUGAAACACAGCAUAAGGAUAUGUUUAAAGUUAAGCACAAAGUUGAAUGUAUUUUGGGAAGAAAUGAAUUUACAUACAUGCUUAAGUGCUUUGCUGAAAUAAGGCCAACAUAGUAAAUAUAUGUGAAGGUAACAGAAUAUAGGAGAAAAUCCCAGCCAUCCUGAAGCUGAAGCAACAUUCCUAAAGGGAGCAUAACUGUACUGUAGAACUCA
rnacentral:lncRNA from 1 species